AGCUUUGAACUCUGCGUGCAAGGC
rnacentral:piRNA from 1 species